AUUUUGUUUAACAAGAUUUCAAUUAUUGGUAGAGUACACUUUAGGGAGGCUAGCUAAAUGUGUAAAUGGAAGAAAAUACACUGAAGAAUAAAGAUAAAAUCACCAGGUGACAUUACAUAUUUAAGUAAGUUGAAAAUGUAACUCAUUUUACCAAUAUUGUUAUUUACACAGAACUUUAAAAUCAUUCACACAUUAUAUAUGAUAAAGUAUAUAUAAAAUUUAAGGAAAUUAUUUUAUUAUAGAGAAAGACGU
rnacentral:lncRNA from 10 species